rnacentral:rRNA from 1 species
UACGAAGGGGGCUAGCGUUGUUCGGAAUUACUGGGCGUAAAGCGCACGUAGGCGGAUCGAUCAGUCAGGGGUGAAAUCCCGCAGCUCAACUGCGGAACUGCCUUUGAUACUGUCGAUCUAGAGUAUGGAAGAGGUGAGUGGAAUUCCGAGUGUAGAGGUGAAAUUCGUAGAUAUUCGGAGGAACACCAGUGGCGAAGGCGGCUCACUGGCUCGACACUGACGCUGAGGUGCGAAAGCGUGGGGAGCAAACAGG